rnacentral:rRNA from 1 species
UACGAAGGGGGCUAGCGUUGCUCGGAAUGACUGGGCGUAAAGGGCGCGUAGGCGGCUCAUACAGUCAGAUGUGAAAUUCCUGGGCUUAACCUGGGGGCUGCAUUUGAUACGUGUGGGCUUGAGUGGGGAAGAGGGUCGUGGAAUUCCCAGUGUAGAGGUGAAAUUCGUAGAUAUUGGGAAGAACACCGGUGGCGAAGGCGGCUCUCUGGACCGAGACUGACGCUGAGGCGCGAAAGCGUGGGGAGCAAACAGG